rnacentral:rRNA from 1 species
CACUCCUACGGGAGGCAGCAGUGGGGAAUAUUGCACAAUGGGCGCAAGCCUGAUGCAGCCAUGCCGCGUGUAUGAAGAAGGCCUUCGGGUUGUAAAGUACUUUCAGCGGGGAGGAAGGCAAUACGGUUAAUAACCGUGUUGAUUGACGUUACCCGCAGAAGAAGCACCGGCUAACUCCGUGCCAGCAGCCGCGGUAAUACGGAGGGUGCAAGCGUUAAUCGGAAUUACUGGGCGUAAAGCGCACGCAGGCGGUCUGUCAAGUCGGAUGUGAAAUCCCCGGGCUCAACCUGGGAACUGCAUUCGAAACUGGCAGGCUUGAGUCGUGUAGAGGGGGUUAGAAUUCCAGGUGUAGCGGUGAAAUGCGUAGAGAUCUGGAGGAAUACCGGUGGCGAAGGCGGCCCCCUGGACAAAGACUGACGCUCAGGUGCGAAAGCGUGGGGAGCAAACAGGAUUAGAAACCCCAGUAGUCCCA